UGUUGCUCCCGCCCCACUCGUUAGUCCCUGUGUACAUGUAUGCCUGCUUGUCUCUCCAGUCUUUGUCACGUCCUUGCGUCUUGUUGAGCGCUCCGCCUUGUGCUCCGUUUUCCCUGUGUUUUCAGAUCGCCUUGUGUUUCCUGGAUUACCUUGUUUGGACUUUUGCCCUGAGCUCCAUGUAAACCUGUUUUAGUUUAGUUUUUGAAUUAAAUAAAUCCUUUGUUUGAACUGCAUCUUCCUCUCGCCUCGCCAUUGUCUGCAUUCAGCUCCCCGACCCGUGACAAUAAUAUGAUUAUAAUUAGCGUCCAUGUUAAUGCCACAUUCCAACUUGAGAGUGGGAAAUAGGACCAUCCAAGGAGCAUAUGAAUGCACCGACCACGUUCACCCGCCUGCCUGCUCAUUGAAACUGUGCCACUCCAGUUUAAUGCAGACAACCCACACCAGCUCUCUUGCGGGCCGCCUUCUUCACUUCCCCAGCGAAAUCCACAGCUCACCGC